GAUGAACGCUAUUGGGAGGCCUAACACAUGCAAGCCGAGCGGUAUUGUUUCUUCGGAAAUGAGAGAGCGGCGUACGGGUGCGGAACACGUGUGCAACCUGCCUUUAUCUGGGGGAUAGCCUUUCGAAAGGAAGAUUAAUACUCCAUAACAUAUUGAUUGGCAUCAAUUAAUAUUGAAAGCUCCGGCGGAUAGAGAUGGGCACGCGCAAGAUUAGCUAGUUGGUGAGGUAACGGCUCACCAAGGCGAUGAUCUUUAGGGGGCCUGAGAGGGUGAUCCCCCACACUGGUACUGAGACACGGACCAGACUCCUACGGGAGGCAGCAGUGAGGAAUAUUGGUCAAUGGGUGCAAGCCUGAACCAGCCAUCCCGCGUGAAGGACGACUGCCCUAUGGGUUGUAAACUUCUUUUGUAUAGGGAUAAACCUACCCUCGUGAGGGUAGCUGAAGGUACUAUACGAAUAAGCACCGGCUAACUCCGUGCCAGCAGCCGCGGCAAUACGGAGGGUGCAAGCGUUAUCCGGAUUUAUUGGGUUUAAAGGGUCCGUAGGCGGACUUAUAAGUCAGUGGUGAAAGCCUGUCGCUUAACGAUAGAACUGCCAUUGAUACUGUAAGUCUUGAGUAUAUUUGAGGUAGCUGGAAUAAGUAGUGUAGCGGUGAAAUGCAUAGAUAUUACUUAGAACACCAAUUGCGAAGGCAGGUUACCAAGAUAUAACUGACGCUGAGGGACGAAAGCGUGGGGAGCGAACAGGAUUAGAUACCCUGGUAGUCCACGCCGUAAACGAUGCUAACUCGUUUUUGGGCUUUAGGGUUCAGAGACCAAGCGAAAGUGAUAAGUUAGCCACCUGGGGAGUACGCUCGCAAGAGUGAAACUCAAAGGAAUUGACGGGGGCCCGCACAAGCGGUGGAUUAUGUGGUUUAAUUCGAUGAUACGCGAGGAACCUUACCAAGACUUAAAUGGGAAUUGACAGCUUUAGAAAUAGAGCUUUCUUCGGACAAUUUUCAAGGUGCUGCAUGGUUGUCGUCAGCUCGUGCCGUGAGGUGUUAGGUUAAGUCCUGCAACGAGCGCAACCCCUGUCACUAGUUGCCAUCAUUCAGUUGGGGACUCUAGUGAGACUGCCUACGCAAGUAGAGAGGAAGGUGGGGAUGACGUCAAAUCAUCACGGCCCUUACGUCUUGGGCCACACACGUAAUACAAUGGCCGGUACAGAGGGCAGCUACACAGCGAUGUGAUGCAAAUCUCGAAAGCCGGUCUCAGUUCGGAUUGGAGUCUGCAACUCGACUCUAUGAAGCUGGAAUCGCUAGUAAUCGCGCAUCAACCAUGGCGCGGGUGAAUACGUUCCCGGGCCU
rnacentral:rRNA from 1 species